UACGGAGGGUGCAAGCGUUAUCCGGAUUCACUGGGUUUAAAGGGUGCGUAGGAGGGCAGGGAAGUCAGUGGUGAAAUCUCCGGGCUUAACUCGGAAACUGCCGUUGAUACUCUCUGUCUUGAAUCCCGUGGAGGUGAGCGGAAUAUGUCAUGUAGCGGUGAAAUGCUUAGAUACGACAUAGAACACCAAUUGCGAAGGCAGCUCGCUACACGAAGAUUGACUCUGAGGCACGAAAGCGUGGGGAUCAAACAGG
rnacentral:rRNA from 1 species